UCUGUAGUUCAGUCGGUAGAACGGCGGACUGUUAAUCCGUAUGUCACUGGUUCGAGUCCAGUCAGA
rnacentral:tRNA from 20 species